GUACUUGUAUUACUUCACAAAAGCCUCUCCUAAGUCGUUGAAAGUGCGAAUGCUUGCACUAUCCAAUCCCAUGUACCAAGGAAGUGCAGCACCAGUAAGGCUAUCUUGGAAGUAAUGAAUAAGCAAUUGGUCAUUAUCUGUCUGCGUUGACAUCUUGCGGGCAUACAUCACAAGAUGAUUGAGCGGACAAAGUUUCUCCUUAUAUUUUUCAAAGUCAGGCACUUUGAACUUCACUAGAAUUUUGACAUUGGGCACCAAACAUAACUCGACAACAC
rnacentral:lncRNA from 1 species